CGCGUAGGCAGGUUCGCAAGUCCGGGGUGAAAUCUUUCGGCUUAACCGGAAAAGGGCCUUGGAUACUGCGAGUCUCGAGGGAGGUAGGGGCCUGUGGAACUUUGGGUGGAGCGGUGAAAUGCGUUGAUAUCCAAAGGAACGCCGGUGGCGAAAGCGACGGGCUGGACCUCUUCUGACGCUGAGGCGCGAAAGCCAGGGGAGCAAACG
rnacentral:rRNA from 1 species